UGCUAGUUCUCGUUCGAGCACCGAAGUUAAGCAAAGUCGAGCCUAAUCAGUACCUAGAUGGGUAACUAUUUGGGAAUACCGUG